GGCAAUGAGCAGAACUUGCAAGGCCAAGGUCAAUUCAAUGGCUUUUAGUUGCAGUUUGUCUCUGUUUAUUUCUGUAGUUUGUAUCAAUAGCUAUGUAUUUGUUUACUCUAGUCCAUUAUGUUUAAAUAGGACUUCAAUUAGUUGCUAUAGUAAGGAGUUACUAUAUGUUUUGUCAAACUGAUAUACAAUUUAAGUAUUGCUGUGGAAGUUUGGUUCCUUCAUUUGUUGUGAAAUUCUAAAUUCUUAAAGCUGUGGUAUCCAUAUACGCUCGUAAUGACAACCACAUAUCUUUUUGCAAUUCAAUUUUUAUAUGGUUUAUACUAUGGAAUAGAUUAAUGCUUAGAUGCACUUGGCACAGAACAACAUAACUGAAAUUAGGAGUGAUGCAUUGAAGCUGAUUUUGAUGCAUAAGAGGCCAAUUCCUCGUGUUUCCACAACAAUUGGUGCUUGGCUGAACAUAUUUCAGUUCAUUUGUUGUUACAUCCAUAUGCACCAACUGCGCCCUUCUAGUAUGGUUAUAUGAUCAUGAGGGGAAAUGGAAUAUAGAGCCUGGCAUAGCUGCAAUUCUGGUUAUGGAACAUAUCCUCCUGUUGAUUAAGUUUGGUUUCUCUCGCCUUGUACCCGAGGGCAGCUGGUACUAGUGCUUGGUUAAGAAGGAAGAAUGAGGUUGGAGGUGGAACGUUUUGGUAGCUUCUGGAAAUUAUAAAAACAGUAGUUCUCCAAAAGUUGAUUUUUUGAGUUUCUGCAAAUUUUCAGUUUAGGAUGCAGUCACCAAUUUUGUUUUCUUGUUUUUGGUUUUUGCGUUGUUCCUAUAGUAGAUUGAGUUGCUGGUUUUGUAAGUAGACGUGUAGGACCAUACAACAUUGAUUUUUAUGU